rnacentral:tRNA from 1 species
GCAAGGGUGGUUCCGUGGUAGGAUUUUUGCCUUUCACACAGGAGACCUGGGUUUGAUUCCCAGCCAGUGCA